UAGGGCCAAGUUAAAGGUAGACUGGAAGCACGAUGGUAUGACAGAAGAGGAGAUUGCCCGUGUUUUUCCUCCUGAUGUAAUCCCUCAUCAGUAGAGGGAGCUUGUCCACUAUUAGUUUUCCAUGAAAGCUCAGACAUAUUCCAACAUUGGUACAGACUAUUCCUCAUACUCCAGGCUCGAUGAGUUAUGCUCGACGUAGAGCUGAAUUCAUGGAUGAUAAUGGGAGGGAGCCUGAUAAGGUGGAGUUUUAUAAGAUGACUCACAC